AUUGAACGCUGGCGGCAUGCCUUACACAUGCAAGUCGAACGGCAGCACGGGUGCUUGCCCCUGGUGGCGAGUGGCGAACGGGUGAGUAAUACAUCGGAACAUGUCCUGUAGUGGGGGAUAGCCCGGCGAAAGCCGGAUUAAUACCGCAUACGAUCUACGGAUGAAAGCGGGGGCCCUUCGGGCCUCGCGCUAUAGGGUUGGCCGAUGGCUGAUUAGCUAGUUGGUGGGGUAAAGGCCUACCAAGGCGACGAUCAGUAGCUGGUCUGAGAGGACGACCAGCCACACUGGGACUGAGACACGGCCCAGACUCCUACGGGAGGCAGCAGUGGGGAAUUUUGGACAAUGGGCGAAAGCCUGAUCCAGCAAUGCCGCGUGUGUGAAGAAGGCCUUCGGGUUGUAAAGCACUUUUGUCCGGAAAGAAAUCCUUGGCCCUAAUACGGUCGGGGGAUGACGGUACCGGAAGAAUAAGCACCGGCUAACUACGUG
rnacentral:rRNA from 1 species